GAAAUGCGAUAAGUAAUGUGAAUUGCAGAAUUCCGUGAAUCAUCGAAUCUUUGAACGCACAUUGCGCCCUCUGGCAUCCCGGGGGGCAUGCCUGUCCGAGCGUCAUUACGCACCCUCAAGCCCGGCUUGUGUGAUGGGCCCCGGCGUCUCGUUCGCGAGACGGGCCCGAAAGGCAGCGGCGGCGUCGACCCGAUGAGCCCGAGCGUAUGGGGACUUCUGUCACACGUUCGCGGUGCGGACCGGCGCCUGCUUGACUUUUCUGAUUAUCCAGGUUGACCUCGGAUCAGGUAGGGAUACCCGCUGAACUUAAGC
rnacentral:misc_RNA from 1 species